rnacentral:rRNA from 1 species
GUGAGGAAUAUUGGUCAAUGGGCGGGAGCCUGAACCAGCCAAGUCGCGUGAAGGAAGAAGGAUCUAUGGUUCGUAAACUUCUUUUGCAGGGGAAUAAAGUGCAGGACGUGUCCUGUUUUGUAUGUACCCUGAGAAUAAGGAUCGGCUAACUCCGUGCCAGCAGCCGCGGUAAUACGGAGGAUCCGAGCGUUAUCCGGAUUUAUUGGGUUUAAAGGGUGCGUAGGUGGUUUGAUAAGUCAGCGGUGAAAGUUUGCAGCUUAACUGUAAAAAUGCCGAUGAAACUGUCGGACUUGAGUGUAAAUGAGGUAGGCGGAAUGCGUGGUGUAGCGGUGAAAUGCAUAGAUAUCACGCAGAACUCCGAUUGCGAAGGCAGCUUACUAAGCUACAACUGACACUGAAGCACGAAAGCGUGGGGAUCAAACAGGAUUAGAUACCCUGGUAGUCC